AACGAACGCUGGCGGCGUGCUUAACACAUGCAAGUCGAACGGAAAGGCCGUGCCUUUGUGGGGUGCUCGAGUGGCGAACGGGUGAGUAACCCGUGAGUACCCUGCACCUGACUUUGGGAUAACCUCAGGAAACUGGGGCUAAUACCGGCUAGGAGCUCCUGCUGCAUGAUGGGCGUUGGAUGGUUUCGGCGGUUGGGGAUGGACUCGCGGCCUAUCAGCUUGUUGGUGGGGUAGUGGCUUACCAAGGCUUGGACGGGUAGCCGGCCUGCGAGGGUGACCGGCCACACUGGGACUGAGAUACGGCCCAGACUCGUACCGGAGGCAGCAGUGGAGAAUAUUGCACAAGGGGCGGAAGCCUGAUGCAGCAACGCCGCGUGGGGGAAGACGGCCUGCGGGUUGUAUACCGCUGUCGCCUGUGACGAAGCGAGAGUGACGGUAACGGGAGAAGAAGCACCGGCUAACUACGUG
rnacentral:rRNA from 1 species